UACGUAGGGGGCGAGCGUUGUUCGGAAUUAUUGGGCGUAAAGGGUGCGUAGGCGGUUUGGUAAGUCUUAUGUGAAAUCUAUGGGCUCAACUCAUAGUCUGCAUGAGAAACUGCCGGGCUUGAGUAUGGGAGAGGUGAGUGGAAUUCCAGGUGUAGCGGUGAAAUGCGUAGAUAUCUGGAGGAACACCGGUGGCGAAGGCGGCAUCCUGGACCGAUACUGACGCUGAGGAGCGAAAGCCAGGGGAGCAAACGGG
rnacentral:rRNA from 1 species